UCUAGUAUACGCAAACCUCUUCCGUUGGAAAGAGUAGCGCGUUUCGUCUCCGCCGCAGCGGCAAAAGCCGCGCCUGCUCGGUCCCUCCUUCCUCCCUUCGUGCUCGAGGUCUCUCCGAUCCUCCGACCGACGCAGCGGCAAUGGAACGGGAUCGCGGCUCAGCCCUGACGCCCGCGACGGGCGAGGAAAGGAAGGGAGGCGUACGCCGCGCCGGCGGCGGCUUGGUUCGCGGCGGCCGUCCCAGCCGCCCGUUCGCUUCGCCUCGACCGCUUCACCCGUGCUGAUCCAGGAGGUACACCCUACACCACCGCCCGGGGGAACGCCCUGCAUUGCGUGUUCGUACAAGGAUUGACCCCAAAACAAACACAUGACAUGUGACGGCAUAGUAAUAGAUGAACUCACGCUGUUGCUGAUGGAAUCGGUGUAAGCACUGACCCCGGAAGUCAUGGAGGCAGCCUGCUCUUCCCCUACAACUCCAUAGCAACUCUGCUGCUGCUCGUUCGCCAUCGCAACUUGUGAAGAAUUCUUGCUGAGCAGCAGCCAGGAGUCCACAUCGUCUUCCUUUUCCCCGAGGGUGGUGGUGGCAGCUGGUGCCUCAGCAAGCACAGAAGCAGCCGGAAUGGCUGCGGCGGGGAGCGGCAGCACAGG